rnacentral:rRNA from 1 species
AGCGAACGCUGGCGGCAGGCUUAACACAUGCAAGUCGAACGGUCCUUCGGGAUAGUGGCGGACGGGUGAGUAACACGUGGGAACGUACCCUUAGGUUCGGAACAACACAGGGAAACUUGUGCUAAUACCGGAUAAGCCCUUCGGGGGAAAGAUCUAUCGCCGUUGGAGCGGCCCGCGGCUGAUUAGCUUGUUGGUGAGGUAAUGGCUCACCAAGGCUACGAUCAGUAGCUGGUCUGAGAGGAUGGCCAGCCACACUGGGACUGAGACACGGCCCAGACUCCUACGGGAGGCAGCAGUGGGGAAUCUUGCGCAAUGGGCGAAAGCCUGACGCAGCCAUGCCGCGUGGAUGAUGAAGGUCUUAGGAUUGUAAAAUCCUUUCACCGGGGACGAUAAUGACGGUACCCGGAGAAGAAGCCCCGGCUAACUUCGUGCCAGCCGCCGCGGUAA